rnacentral:rRNA from 1 species
CGGUCCAGACUCCUACGGGAGGCAGCAGUGGGGAAUAUUGCACAAUGGGCGAAAGCCUGAUGCAGCCAUGCCGCGUGUGUGAAGAAGGCCCUAGGGUUGUAAAGCACUUUCAGCGAGGAGGAAAGGUUAUAGUUUAAUAGACUAUAGCUGUGACGUUACUCGCAGAAGAAGCACCGGCUAACUUCGUGCCAGCAGCCGCGGUAAUACGAGGGGUGCAAGCGUUAAUCGGAAUUACUGGGCGUAAAGCGUACGCAGGCGGUUUGUUAAGCGAGAUGUGAAAGCCCCGGGCUCAACCUGGGAACUGCAUUUCGAACUGGCAGACUAGAGUAUGAUAGAGGGUGGU